AAAUCGAUAAUCACCGUUUAUUUCAUGUACGUAAUUCAAUUAAAAAAUAUUGAAACAUAAAUCAAAACAUCAUCAAUUACACCGAAGACAAGGACCAUAGGCAUUUGCAAUUUAUUUUUUUGGGUUCCAGACACAUCAACAAAAAUUUAAAAAUAUACUCGAAAUCUUGGAAAUAAAACUAAA